GCCCUUAGCCAAACUACUGGAAGGCCAGUGGCUGAGGGAAUCCCAGGGGGCAGCUCAUCUGAGCCAGUCACCCCCAGGACACAAGUGUCUUCAUAACAUGUAAGAAGUCCACACCUCUAUAACGUUUUUUAUGAAGCCUCUUUUAGAGACAGGAUGUUUGUUCUUGAAUCCAGUAGACUCUGAGGGACGUCUCCACCUGUUGGAGCCUCAUGUAGCCCAACUCCAGCCUGUUGUAUGGAACUCAACACACCAAAACUCAUAACCAAUAGUGGUAUAAAGUUCACUGAAUAAAAUGGUUGUCUUCAAAGGAUAAUGAAGAUGAAGACACUGUGUCUGCUGUCACAGAAAGGCCUACAGAGAGCGUAACUGGACAGCAUGAAGAGGGUCCAUCAAACUCUGCAGCACCAAUGGACACAUUACCAGUUAUACAGAAUCCAUCUCCUUAAACUGACUGAAAAAACAGAUCAGGAAAUGGUGCACUUGGACCGCCAGAUCCAAAAGGCAGAUCUGGAAAUCGAGAUACUUAAAUACAAGUUAGAGG